rnacentral:rRNA from 1 species
CCUACGGGAGGCAGCAGUGAGGAAUAUUGGUCAAUGGGCUUACGCCUGAACCAGCCAAGUCGCGUGAGGGAAGACUGCCCUAUGGGUUGUAAACCUCUUUUGUCAGGGAGCAAUUGGCGCUACGUGUAGCGUUAUCGAGAGUACCUGAAGAAAAAGCAUCGGCUAACUCCGUGCCAGCAGCCGCGGUAAUACGGAGGAUGCGAGCGUUAUCCGGAUUUAUUGGGUUUAAAGGGUGCGUAGGCGGAAUGCCAAGUCAGCGGUAAAAUCGCGGGGCUCAACCUCGCUCCGCAGUUGAAACUGGAGGCCGUGAGUGCACACAGGGAUGCCGGAAUUCAUGGUGUAGCGGUGAAAUGCUUAGAUAUCAUGAAGAACUCCGAUCGCGAAGGCAAGUGUCCGGGGUGCAACUGACGCUGAGGCUCGAAAGUGCGGGUAUCAAACAGGAUUAGAUACCCGGGUAGUC